rnacentral:snRNA from 1 species
AUUGCUUCUCAGCCUUUUGGCUAAGAUCAAGUGUAGUAUCUGUUCUUAUCAGUUUAAUAUCUGAUACAUCCUCUAUCCGAGGUCAAUAUGUUAAAUGGAUUUUUGGAGCAGGAAGUUGGAAUAGGAGCUUACUCCAACCACCCCACUCAUUGACCUGGCAUUGCAGUACCUCCAGUAACGGUGCACCAAAA